rnacentral:misc_RNA from 1 species
GAUGAAGAACGCAGCGAAAUGCGAUAAGUAAUGUGAAUUGCAGAAUUCAGUGAAUCAUCGAAUCUUUGAACGCACAUUGCGCCCGCCAGCAUUCUGGCGGGCAUGCCUGUUCGAGCGUCAUUUCAACCCUCGAGCCCCCCCGGGGGCCUCGGUGUUGGGGGACGGCACACCAGCCGCCCCCGAAAUGCAGUGGCGACCCCGCCGCAGCCUCCCCUGCGUAGUAGCACACACCUCGCACCGGAGCGCGGAGGCGGUCACGCCGUAAAACGCCCAACUUUCUUAGAGUUGACCUCGGAUCAGGUAGGAAUACCCGCUGAACUUAAGCAUAUCAAUGAGCGGAGGA